CAGGGAUGCGGUGGAGUCACCGCCCAUGGAGGCGUUUAAGGAGAGACUGGAUGCGGCACACAGGUCUGCAUGACACGGUAGUGUUUGGUCACAGGUUGGAUUCGAGGAUCUCAGCUCUUUUCCAACCUUAACGACGCUAUGAUGCUUCGGGAAACGUACGGUUUAACUUUGGGAGGUGGAGCUACACCAGGUCGGUUCCUGCUCUUCCUUCAUAAACUCACAUAAAACGGCCUGGCGUUUCACACGUGAAAACUGUAACGCCAAACGCGCGACUAGCGCGGUGCCCGGCAGGAGGGCCCCUCGUGCAGCAGGAGGGCGGCGGGGCCCACGCCGCGCCCGGGCCCCCCCCCCCCCCCCCCCCCCCCCCCCCCCCCCCCCCCCCCCCCCCCCCCCCCCCCCCCCCCCCCCCCCCCCCCCCCCCCCCCCCCCCCCCCCCCGGGCGUGGCCAGCCUCGUUCCCACCCCGCAGCGUACAUAUAAAGGUGGCGAGAGGCCGCCACGCCCCCUCUUUCCCUGCGGAGCGGCAGUCUUGGCGGCACGCGGUACGAUGGAAAGGAGGUUUUCAGUGGUGUCGAGUACAUUGUGCAUUAAGCACUUCAUGGAAGGACCACUACAAGUCGAAGAAUACUUGGUACACACAAGUGGAUUUUCCUGAAAGCCAUACAGGCAUGAACACUUUCUAA
rnacentral:lncRNA from 12 species